rnacentral:rRNA from 1 species
UACGAAGGGGGGCUAGCGUUGCUCGGAAUCACUGGGCGUAAAGCGCACGUAGGCGGAUUGCUAAGUCAGGGGUGAAAUCCUGGAGCUCAACUCCAGAACUGCCCUUUGAUACUGGCGAUCUCGAGUCCGGGAGAGGUGAGUGGAACUGCGAGUGUAGAGGUGAAAUUCGUAGAUAUUCGCAAGAACACCAGUGGCGAAGGCGGCUCACUGGCCCGGUACUGACGCUGAGGUGGCGAAA